GCUUUUCUGAACUGUAACACUAAUAUAAUUUUUUUUUUCUUUUCAGGAAGGAGAAUGUUCUUGUUUAUGGUUUCCUUUGAUCAAUUACCUCAGAUCAUUCCCAAUGCUAAAAAAAAAAAUAGUCUUGACUGGAAUCCUGCUUCAGCAUUUGGGACUGAUGCUGAAAGUAGUCUAGAAACAUCGGAUCUUUCGCGUGUUUUGCGACGGUGCGCCUGAGUCACUUCUGCUCUGGGUGACUAAAGUUCUCGGCCCUUCUCUCGAAGCACCUGGAAGGACUGGAUGCAAUGCCGCUGGCUGGGAGGACCCUCCCUGAGCUCUCCUGGGUGGUGACAUCCACCAUCUUUGAACUUCCCAAGGGGUGUCUCAGCUGCUGUCCUGGAACGGCGCUAGAAGAGGAAGGAGGCUGGUUUCUCAUUGCUGGAAUUCGAAUUUCCAAUCUUGGGUCUCCGGCUUUAUUUACCCGGAAACCUUGGAGCAGAGUGUUCUACAAAGGAGGCCAUCACAGCUGGAUGUGUUCCACACAAGCCUCUGUGCUGUGAGUCAGGGCUGCAGAUGGGUGAAGCAGGUGGUGUUGGAUGCAGGUGCCAGACAAGGGCACAGCCUUUCCCUUACCUGCACAUCUCCUUCAGGAGCCCCAUCAGGCUGCGGGCUGGUCUUGGCCAGAGUUGUUGUGCCAGGUUGAGGUAGCAGGGGAGUGUUACAUCUUCCUCUUUGUAAUGGGGACCACCCCUUUAUCUGGAAAGGUCGUGGAGGGAGGUGGGCAAUCAAGGGUGAAAGGUCCUGCUUCCCUGACCUUGUGGAUCUUGAAUGCACCACUGGUGAUAACGUGGUGGCAACAACAACAACAGACGUGGGUCUAGUGCUUGCUGCGUGCUGGCAGUGCUCUAAGUGUUUCAUGUGUAUUAGCAUGUUUAGUUCCUGCGGCCGCUGAGGUCGAUUACAGCUGGCCACAAUUUCUUUGAUACUUUUCCCAUUGAGACGUGGGGGUAUGGCCCCUCCUGUUGAAUCUGGACAGGCUCUGUGACUGCUUUACCCAAGAGAAUAUGGCAAACGUAAUGACGUGUCUGUUUGAAACUGUCUUUGAAGACCCUUGCCUGGGGGCACUUGCUCUAGGGAGAGCCAGACCCCACGUAAGAAGUCUGAGUACUGUGCUGGAGAAAUCACAGGAAGGGGACCUGAGACCUCAUGGAGAGAGAGAGGGACCAGCAGAGCCUUUGCUGUUCUGUCCCUUCUGCCACGUGGCUCCCCCCACAGCCCCUUAGCUACUCUCAACUAUUGUUUAAAACUGAGAUCUCCAUCCAUGUUGUCGCAAAUGGCAAGAUUUCAUUCUUUUUGGUCGCCGGGUAGUAUUCCAUUGUGUAUAUAUACCACA